rnacentral:rRNA from 1 species
UACGUAGGGGGCAAGCGUUAUCCAGAUUUACUGGGCGUAAAGCGCGUGUAGGCGGCUGGUUAGGCGUGAUGUGAAAUCUUCCGGCUCAACCGGAAAACUGCAUUGCGAACCGGCCUGGCUAGAGUGCAGGAGAGGGAAGCGGAAUUCCAGGUGUAGCGGUGAAAUGCGUAGAUAUCUGGAGGAACACCAGUGGCGAAAGCGGCCACCUGGACUGUACCUGACGCUCAAGCGCGAAAGCUAGGGGAGCGAACGGG